rnacentral:rRNA from 1 species
AUGAAAAGUUUAAAUGGCCGCAGUACCCUGACUGUGCUAAGGUAGCAUAAUCAAUUGGCCUUUAAUUGAGGUCUGGAAUGAAUGGAUUAAUACGGAAACUAACUGUCUCUUUUUAGAAUUUGUUGAAGUUAUCUUUAAAGGUGAAAAGGCCUUUAAUAUGUGAAAAUAGACGAGAAGACCCUAAGAGUUUUGAUUAUAGGUAAAGGUUUUUGCUUUUUUUUUUUGCUGGGGCGGCAAGGAAACAAAUUAACUUUCUUGGUAAAAUUAACAAAGUUGACGCGAAAUUUUAUGAAGAGCUAAUAAAUUACCUUAGGGAUAACAGCAUAAUUAUUUUAAUGUUUGUGACCUCGAUGUUGGACUAGGAAAGCUUCAAAUGGCUAGCCGCCAAAAGUAUUAUGUUCUGUUCGAACAGU